rnacentral:rRNA from 1 species
CCUACGGGAGGCAGCAGUGGGGCAUAUUGCACAAUGGGGGAAACCCUGAUGCAGCGACGCCGCGUGAGUGAAGAAGUAUUUCGGUAUGUAAAGCUCUAUCAGCAGGGAAGAUAAUGACGGUACCUGACUAAGAAGCCCCGGCUAACUACGUGCCAGCAGCCGCGGUAAUACGUAGGGGGCAAGCGUUAUCCGGAUUUACUGGGUGUAAAGGGAGCGUAGACGGCAGCACAAGUCUGGAGUGAAAUGCCGGGGCUUAACCCCGGAACUGCUUUGGAAACUGUGCAGCUAGAGUGCAGGAGAGGUAAGUGGAAGUCCUAGUGUAGCGGUGAAAUGCGUAGAUAUUAGGAGGAACACCAGUGGCGAAGGCGGCUUACUGGACUGUAACUGACGUUGAGGCUCGAAAGCGUGGGGAGCAAACAGGAUUAGAUACCCCUGUAGUC